rnacentral:tRNA from 13 species
GGGUUCGACCGGGAUUUGAACCCGGGACCUCUCGCACCCAAAGCGAGAAUCAUACCCCUAGACCACCGAACC